rnacentral:rRNA from 1 species
GAUGAACGCUGGCGGCGUGCCUAAUACAUGCAAGUCGAGCGAACGGACGAGAAGCUUGCUUCUCUGAUGUUAGCGGCGGACGGGUGAGUAACACGUGGAUAACCUACCUAUAAGACUGGGAUAACUUCGGGAAACCGGAGCUAAUACCGGAUAAUAUUUUGAACCGCAUGGUUCAAAAGUGAAAGACGGUCUUGCUGUCACUUAUAGAUGGAUCCGCGCUGCAUUAGCUAGUUGGUAAGGUAACGGCUUACCAAGGCAACGAUGCAUAGCCGACCUGAGAGGGUGAUCGGCCACACUGGAACUGAGACACGGUCCAGACUCCUACGGGAGGCAGCAGUAGGGAAUCUUCCGCAAUGGGCGAAAGCCUGACGGAGCAACGCCGCGUGAGUGAUGAAGGUCUUCGGAUCGUAAAACUCUGUUAUUAGGGAAGAACAUAUGCGUAAGUAACUGUGCACAUCUUGACGGUACCUAAUCAGAAAGCCACGGCUAACUACGUGCCAGCAGCCGCGGUAAUACGUAGGUGGCAAGCGUUAUCCGGAAUUAUUGGGCGUAAAGCGCGCGUAGCGGUUUUUUAAGUCUGAUGUGAAAGCCCACGGCUCAACCGUGGAGGGUCAUUGGAAACUGGAAAACUUGAGUGCAGAAGAGGAAAGUGGAAUUCCAUGUGUAGCGGUGAAAUGCGCAGAGAUAUGGAGGAACACCAGUGGCGAAGGCGACUUUCUGGUCUGUAACUGACGCUGAUGUGCGAAAGCGUGGGGAUCAAACAGGAUUAGAUACCCUGGUAGUCCACGCCGUAAACGAUGAGUGCUAAGUGUUAGGGGGUUUCCGCCCCUUAGUGCUGCAGCUAACGCAUUAAGCACUCCGCCUGGGGAGUACGACCGCAAGGUUGAAACUCAAAGGAAUUGACGGGGACCCGCACAAGCGGUGGAGCAUGUGGUUUAAUUCGAAGCAACGCGAAGAACCUUACCAAAUCUUGACAUCCUUUGACAACUCUAGAGAUAGAGCCUUCCCCUUCGGGGGACAAAGUGACAGGUGGUGCAUGGUUGUCGUCAGCUCGUGUCGUGAGAUGUUGGGUUAAGUCCCGCAACGAGCGCAACCCUUAAGCUUAGUUGCCAUCAUUAAGUUGGGCACUCUAAGUUGACUGCCGGUGACAAACCGGAGGAAGGUGGGGAUGACGUCAAAUCAUCAUGCCCCUUAUGAUUUGGGCUACACACGUGCUACAAUGGACAAUACAAAGGGCAGCGAAACCGCGAGGUCAAGCAAAUCCCAUAAAGUUGUUCUCAGUUCGGAUUGUAGUCUGCAACUCGACUACAUGAAGCUGGAAUCGCUAGUAAUCGUAGAUCAGCAUGCUACGGUGAAUACGUUCCCGGGUCU